rnacentral:misc_RNA from 1 species
GAUGAAGAACGCAUCGAAAUGCGAUAAGUAAUGUGAAUUGCAGAAUUCAGUGAAUCAUCGAAUCUUUGAACGCACAUUGCGCCCGCCAGUAUUCUGGCGGGCAUGCCUGUUCGAGCGUCAUUUCAACCAUCAAGCCCCAGGCUUGUGUUGGAGCCCUGCGGCUGCCGCAGCCUCCCAAAACCAGUGGCGGGCUCGCUAUCACACCGAGUGCAGUAGUUUACUCUUCGCUCAGGGCGUGUGGCGGGUGCUAGCCGUAAAACCCCCAACUUCUCAAGGUUGACCUCGGAUCAGGUAGGAAUACCCGCUGAACUUAAGCAUAUCAAUAAGCGGAGGA